rnacentral:rRNA from 1 species
GAAUCUUGCGCAAUGGGCGAAAGCCUGACGCAGCCAUGCCGCGUGAAUGAUGAAGGUCUUAGGAUUGUAAAAUUCUUUCACCGGGGACGAUAAUGACGGUACCCGGAGAAGAAGCCCCGGCUAAUUUCGUACCAGCAGCCGCAGUAAUACGAAGGGGGCUAGCUUUGCUCGGAAUUACCUGGCGUAAAGCGCGCGUUGGCGGUUCGGUACGUCAGGGGUGAAAUCCCAGGGCUCAACCCUGGAACUGCCUUUGAUACUGGCGAUCUUGAGUAUGAGAGAGAUAUGUGGAACUCCGAGUGUAGAGGUGAAAUUCGUAGAUAUUCGGAAGAACACCAGUGGCGAAGGCGACAUACUGGCUCAUUACUGACGCUGAGGCGCGAAAGCGUGGGGAGCAAACA